AGCAGCCGCGGUAAUUCCAACUCCAAUAGCGUAUAUUAAAGUUGUUGCAGUUAAAAAGCUCGUAGUUGAAUUUCGGGGUUAGUAGGUUGGUCAUGCCUCUGGUAUGUACUGGUCUCACUGAUUCCUCCUUCCUGAUGAACCUUAAUGCCAUUUAUUUGGUGUUUUGGGGAAUUUGGACUGUUACUUUGAAAAAAUUAGAGUGUUUAAAGCAAGCUAACGCUUGAAUACAUUAGCAUGGAAUAAUGAAAUAGGACGUUCGAUCCUAUUUUGUUGGUUUCUAGGAUUGACGUAAUGAUUAAUAGGGAUAGUUGGGGGCAUUAGUAUUCAAUUGUCAGAGGUGAAAUUCUUGGAUUUAUUGAAGACUAACUACUGCGAAAGCAUUUGCCAAGGAUGUUUUCAUUAAUCAAGAACGAAAGUUAGGGGAUCGAAGACGAUCAGAUACCGUCGUAG
rnacentral:rRNA from 1 species